AUGCUCUUAUUGCAUGGACCAAGUCAUUCUACAAGAGGUGAUAGCAACUUAGCAAGUACCUAAGCCAAAUGCUAAGCUUGAAACUGAAGCCUACAUAUGAAGAUAGUGCUGUUAGGAAGUGCUAUACAAAUACCAAGUACUUCAUACAGGACAACUGGCAAAGAACUUGGGUUAUGGCACUGUGGAUUUGUCUGAUGUUAGGUUUAUUUGCCUACAAAUUCUUACACUGUAGAAGGAGAAAAGAUGUAUAUCAUGUUAUAGGGUGAUAGCCGUAGCAGUAGCAAUUGGUGUUGAAAUACAUGCAAUUUUUCAUCUUUCUUGCGACUUCCUUCGCCUCCUUCGUGUAAGCCCUCAAAAGUACAAGCCACACCUUGGUUCAGGAGAAACAGGAUUAAGCUUCCUAAACCACUCAACAAUCUAACUAGCUUCAGUGCAUUUUGGUACUCACAUCAUCUCUUUGUCAUUGUCUAUGCCUCGUUGAUUGUUCAUGGAAUCAAACUUUUCUUUACCAAAGAGUGGUACGAGAAAACGGGGUCUGAUUUAGAUAGUUUAUUAGAGUAGAAUAAUGUAACAUCUUCAGCCAAAACAAUUGUUGGCUCAACACCUCUGAAGCAGAAUCAGAAGCAUGAAGGUAGUGCAAGAAGGUAGUGCAAGGAUUAUUAGAAGCACACUCUCAAACAAGGAAAUGCGCAAAAGUCAGUCAGCCAGGCCUCAAUCGGAGCAGGCAAUACCAACAUCUGAUCUACAAAAGGAAAGACAAGAACCUACAUGUGCAAUUGAUUUUGAAGAAAUUUAUUUUUAGAGAAAUAAAUUUUAUUUUUAGAGAAAUAAUUUGUAUUAUUCCCAAAUAGAAGAUCUUAUGGCUGCUAAUUUAUUAUGGCAACCGAAAUUUUGUUUUAGGAUAAUUUUUAUUAUUUAAAGAAUAUUGGAUUGUAUUA